rnacentral:misc_RNA from 1 species
GAUGAAGAACGUAGCGAAAUGCGAUAAGUAAUGUGAAUUGCAGAAUUCAGUGAAUCAUCGAAUCUUUGAACGCACAUUGCGCCCGCCAGUAUUCUGGCGGGCAUGCCUGUUCGAGCGUCAUUUCAACCAUCAAGCCCCCGGCUUGUGUUGGGGACCUGCGGCUGCCGCAGGCCCUGAAAAGCAGUGGCGGGCUCGCUGUCACACCGAGCGUAGUAGCAUACAUCUCGCUCUGGGCGAGCUGCGGGUUCCGGCCGUUAAACCACCUUCAUAACCCAAGGUUGACCUCGGAUCAGGUAGGAAGACCCGCUGAACUUAAGCAUAUCAAUAAGCGGAGGA